GUGUUGAAAUAUUUAAAUAUAAGCUGCAUUGAGGAGGGAAUAAGAGAAUUAUUACAUAAGAUUCACUGAGACUGAUGAAAAUCAUUGCAAUACAACUGGAAUAGAAUUGCACCCAGCCAAAUACAGUUGGAUAUUAUUUGUGCCUUUUAUUGAGCGUUACGUAUUGGACCACACAGGUAUUUGUGAAGGUAAUUACAUUAAACGUUAUGCAUAUUAAUCUCAUUCAGCUCCUUCUUCUCUAUUGCACCAACGAUCGAAUAACUUUACAGCUGCCUGACAAGGCAAUGCACAGACCAUAAUCAUAAUUUAUCAAAUUUUACUAGUAUUAAACCAUCGCAAAUAUAAGGUUUUCAUUUACUAGAAACAAUGAUACAGCUCGGACGUGUCAGAAAGAAUUAAUGCAACCACCGGAUGAAGGAGCGAUUAAUCAUGAUCAAUCGAUAAAAAAAAAUCGAUAGAUAUCAUAUCAUAUAGCAUAUAACUUAUUCCUCUCGAUCGUUUGAGUUGUGCAGUGUCUUGUCCUACCGUGGCGUUCUCAUUUGUUGAUUUUGCUUUGGACACUUCGGUAUCGGGGAUUCGUGACGCAAGCGACGCCGCCCACGUCCGCCCGCCACUCUAUCUAGUCCCGUUCCCCACUCCGCUCCAGCAGAGCAGGAGAAGCCCGGCGUCCUCGCACCCUUCCCGCUUCGAGCCGGGGACCGGCACGUCGUCGCCAUGAAAGUCGCGCUUCUGAUCGCCUCGGCACUGGCGCUCCUCGCAGACAACCACUCGCUUCCAGCUGGGAAUUUGGACAGAAGGCAGGAAAUACUUACGAGAUGUUUGGUACAAGUCCUUUCUAAGGUUCUUUCCAAACCUGAAGACAACUCACUGCGCCCGGAAUGUAAGGAAAUUCUGAAAGCAGGCUCAGAUCCUGCUGCGCCUGUGAAAAAAAGUGAGGAAGAGGUGUUACCACCUGAGGGCAAUGAGUCCAGGAAGGAGCCUGGUGAUGAGGCCAUUGAACAUCUCCUCAAGAAAAAUGAAGAGUCAGAUGACGAACGGAGUCAGGAAGCCUUUCCAACCUAUGCAAAGAAAUGGCACUCCAUGGGCAAUUACAAGCGUGAGGAUCCAGAUGAAGAACGAAGCCAGGAGGCUUUUCCGGGAUUCGAGAAGAGGAGGCACCUUCUGACAAGCAAGGAAAAGCGCGAGGAAGCGGACGAUGAGCGUAGCCAGGAAUUGUUUCCUGACUACAAGAAGAAGAGGCACUUCCUCUUGAGAAAUGAUGAGAAGCGAGAAGAUCCAGAUGAAGAAAGAAGCCAAGAGACUUUCCCUGAAUUUGCGGUCAAAAGGCACCAUGAAGAUGCUGAAGAAGAGGAGAAAAGGAGGAGCCAUGAGCUCCAGCACAACGCAGAGGAGAGCGAGGAGAGGGAGAAGAGGAUUUGGAGGCCAACACACAGAUACCAUCAUAAGAAACACCACAAGCGCAGUGGUGACUCACUGGAUGGGGAGUCUGAAGAGGUGAACUCACAUGAGAGAAGGUCUGAAGAAUCUGAGGAGGAGGACGAGGAAAGUAGAGAGAAGCGCAUCUGGAAACCCACACAUAGAUACCACCAUAAGAAGCACAGGCGUGAUGGUGACUCCUCUGAUGAAUCUUCUCCUGAGGAGCUGGAAGACAGCGAGGAGAGGGAGAAGAGGAUUUGGAAGCCCACUCACAGAUACCACCACAAGAAACACAGGAGGAAUGAGGAACCUUAUGAGGAAGAGGAACCAGAAUCAUGGAGAUCUGCUGAAUCUGAGGAAAACGAGGAGAUAGAGAAGAGGAUUUGGAAGCCCUCACACAGGUACCACCACAAGAAGCACCACAAGCGCAGCGAAGAACUCUCCCUUGAGGACGACGAGGAGCCUGGAAACAUUGAAAAGAAGCACCACAGCCCCACUGAGGAGCAGGAAGAGGCUUUGAGGUAUCUGACCAAGAAAAGCAGCCAGAUGGGGGAUCGACUUCUGGGAGAAGAGGAAGCAUAUGAGAAGCGCUCUCCGUGGAUUUACAGGGGAUAUUACCACCCCGCCUGGUACAAGAGGAGCGCGCCGGGAGACGAGUUCACCAGAUUUCUCAAUUACAAGAGAGCGCAGCUCUCCCACCUGGCAUCCCCGGAAGAGGAGAAGAGGUCCCUCCACCAGAGACCACUGACCCCAGCAGAGGAAAAGGAGCUGGCUAAUCUGGCAGUCAUGGACCUGGAGCUACAGCAGCUUGCCGAAAAAAUCCACAAGGACCAGAACGACGAAUGAUCAAUAAACCCGAG
rnacentral:lncRNA from 1 species